GAUGAACGCUGGCGGCGUGCCUAAUACAUGCAAGUCGAGCGAACGGACGAGAAGCUUGCUUCUCUGAUGUUAGCGGCGGACGGGUGAGUAACACGUGGAUAACCUACCUAUAAGACUGUGAUACCUUCGGGAAACCGGAGCUAAUACCGGAUAAUAUUUUGAACCGCAUGGUUCAAAAGUGAAAGACGGUCUUGCUGUCACUUAUAGAUGGAUCCGCGCUGCAUUAGCUAGUUGGUAAGGUAACGGCUUACCAAGGCAACGAUGCAUAGCCGACCUGAGAGGGUGAUCGGCCACACUGGAAGAGAGACACGGGCCGGACUCCUACGGGAGGCAGCGGUACGGAAUCUGCCGCAAUGGGCGAAGGCCUGACGGGGCAACGCGGCGUGAGUGCUGAAGGUCUUCGGAUCGUAAAACGCUGUUGUUAGGGAAGAUCAUAUGUGUAAGUAACUGUGCACAUCUUGACGGUACCUAAUCAGAAAGCCACGGCUAACUACGUG
rnacentral:rRNA from 1 species